UCUCCCCCUCUCUGACGCUCCGCUUUGGCUUGUCUUCUCUCUUCGAGCCCGCGUCCGUUUCGUGUGCCACUGCCACUAGCGCAUUCAUUCUUCGUGCCAUCAAGCAUCCUCUGGCUGUGCGCCUGACUUCUGUGCCGCUGCUGCGUUGCUCUCUACACCCGCUAUUUGCCGCUUCUCCACCACCUCUCACCCUCAGCAAGCCCACCGUUUUUCAUUCAGUAGUCUUCACAGGGAUUGUGCUGCUCGAUUUCACCGUCACGAACAAUGUCCGAGAUGAACCUCAUUGUGAACAUUACGUGCAACCCGCCCGUCAUCUCCAUCUUUGGGCCCAUCAAGGAGAGCACGAUUGAUCGCCUUAACGAGACGAUUCCGAAUUCCUGUUCUACCACCAACACCGGCAAGACGCCGUUUGCACUGGUGCGCAAGGAUGACCCUCCGCACUGGUUCGGCGAGUUGCGCACUCAGUUUGCCACUGAGGAUAUCGGCACAUCGAUGCUAUUCAUCUCGGUUCUGGACGCGCUCGAGGAGGAGGGUGUCUGGAAGUUGCGGGGCAGCACCUCCUUGAGCCACGACUGCAACAAGACCACCUACAAGUUCUUCUUUGUCCGCGGCGCUCAUUAGCUCUUCUCCUGCGCUAAAAAGCAGCUCGUUUUGAAUGCGUUUGUCUCACGCGGAUCUGCGGCUGCAGCGCCAGCACCGCCAUGGGGGCUACUCGUGUCGAGGUGGCCUAUUCGUGUUUCUCUGUGAGUCGUUGAGGCAAAAGCCAAUCCCUGCCUUCUCUCUUUAUGUACAUAAUGCAUAGCGCUAAUUCACCAGCGCAACCGACGAAUUGGAGGUAAACGAAAAAGCAAAGGAGGUGGUCCGAACGGGAUAGAGCGGAUGGGGACGCUGGCGCCGCCAAUGCUAUAGCGAAUGCACACCUCUCCUAGCGCUCUUCUUUCGGCGUUGUUUUCUUUUUCUCUUGCUGACAUGACGAGAAUGUAAUGAUUUGCCAUUUCCAGUUUUUUUUUUAGCUGAUACCCACCCUACCACACUCCCUCGCUCUUCAUGUUCAGCACUUGCCGCCGCGUCUUCAUCGCAUCGGUUUUCUUUUCUUCAUGUUCUCGAUUGAAUUUCUGCGCCCCACCCUUUCUCUCUUUUCACUGUUAUGCCCCUGCCCCAGUGCUGUUUGAGCUGAGGCGGUGACGAGUGGGUUUAGGCGUGGGGCCCAGUGGGUGACAGAUCCGCCAAAAAAAAAGCGAACAAACAAACAACGAACCCCGGAGAGCAAACACACGAAAGGAUCACUUUUUUUCUCUUUUCCUUUUCGCUAGCCUUGGCGCCACGCUAGCCGGAUGGGGCCUUGCCUACGUCAUCUCUGGCGUACAGUGGUGUGGCGGCUCGUGCUUCGCAGAGGGCGCACAGUUUUCAAACGUAUGUGGGGCACCACCCUACUUGACCGGCUCAUU
rnacentral:misc_RNA from 1 species